AACGCACUGGCCUUGCAGUAAAUAAGUGAAGCUAAACGCAGCGAGUCUAGCUUGGCUGAUACAGAGAGCGAGAAAAAGCGGUACCGCAGGUUGGCCCAGAUGAUGUUCUCCUGGGAGAAGCAGAAGACGCCGAGCCGGCCUCCUCUCAUCGUGGCGUCUAUGAUGACGCCGGUGUCUGCCACCAUCUGAGGGCCCUCAUAGAAACGGACUCUGCAGCAACAGCAGAGAUAUGGAGAAGAUAGAAGACUUUCUGGAAAUCGCAUUUUCCAGCCAAGCCGCAGAUGCAGGAAUGAAAAGCAGUGGGAGUCCGAAAGUUUGAACAAGCUGUGGUUCUGUGGUAGAAAGACUCUGGUUUUUCAUGUGUCCUGGUUUAUUCUAAAUGAAACUGCUAAACAGGAGACAUUAAAGUUCAUGUUUCAGUUUGCAGCAAUGUUUUUGUUUCCGAAAAUAUUUUUUAUGACUGCCAACAAAUCUAAGGCCUUUUUUUUCUUUAUUGAUAACCCAGUAGCUUACAGUAGCACUUAGUGAAAUAAAAGGUAUAAUAAAUAUGUGAAACAUUAAAAUACAGAAGAUUUUUACGUUGAAAACAGUACCAUUAAAACUGACCAUUUAUUACAAUGAACAAAUUUGAAACUCUUCUUAAAAAGUGUUUAAUUGAAAAGUGUAAAUGCUAUUUUGUAUAAUCUUAAUUGGAUUUUGUGACAUUUUAUUGAAAAAUUCUAUUUUAUAUUAAGUGUAAUUAAUUAC